rnacentral:sRNA from 1 species
UCUGAAGAGGACUUGGAACUAAAGCAGAACCUUGAGCUCUAUGUUGAGAGGGUUCAGGAUCCUAAUCCGGAAUUGCAGAAGGCU